UCGACGCAACGCGAAGAACCUUACCGGGGCUUGACAUCCUCUGACAGCCCAUGAAAGUGGGAUUUCCUCUUUUUGGGGGACAGGGAGACAGGUGGUGCAUGGUUGUCGUCAGCUCGUGUCGUGAGAUGUUGGGUUAAGUCCCGCAACGAGCGCAACCCCUACUUUUAGUUGCCAGCAUUAGGUUGGGCACUCUAGAGGGACUGCCGGUGACAAACCGGAGGAAGGUGGGGAUGACGUCAAAUCAUCAUGCCCCUUAUGUCCCGGGCUACACACGUGCUACAAUGGCCUGUACAGAGGGCGGCGAAGCCGUGAGGCGGAGCAAAUCCCAAAAAGCAGGUCACAGUUCGGAUUGCAGGCUGCAACUCGCCUGCAUGAAGUCGGAAUCGCUAGUAAUCGCAGGUCAGCAUACUGCGGUGAAUACGUUCCCGGGCCUUGUACACACCGCCCGUCACACCACGAAAGCCUGCAACACCCGAAGCCGGUGACUUAACCGCAAGGAGAGAGCCGUCGAAGGUGGGGCCGGUGAUUGGGGUGAAGUCGUAACAAGGUAACC
rnacentral:rRNA from 1 species